rnacentral:misc_RNA from 1 species
CUUUUACUCCCUUUGUGCUCUCCCCAAGCGAUACUUUGUGCAUGCAGUACUUAUACUCCUGGCUUCGAAUAAAGUCCCUCUCCCCUUCUUCCAGCGGAUCACUCUCGUAGAUGAGCUCAUAGCAGACCGGGGAGAGACACCGCAGGGCGCAAUUCUCCGUAUCUAUCACCGAUCGGCGGCACCGCCAGCCCCACAUCCCGCUCUCGAUGUCGGCAUAGCAGGCUUGCUUCUUCUCUCUGAUCUCAGUGUCCGUAAUGGGGCGAGGAGAGGAUUUGGCGAGCGCCGGCAAAGCGGAG